AAAAUGACUCACACAGCUCAUCAAACAGCAGAGGCCCAGGAAAUGUAAUCCGCUCGUGUGCAGAAGGAGGGAAGAAUCAGACAGAGAUGCUAAGUCUCAGAUUCUUCAUCCGCAAAAUGGGAAUUAAAUCUACUGCAAAGGUUGUUGGAAGAGUUAAAAUGGGAUCAUGAAUGUAAAAUGCACGUCAUGAUAUAACACGAACAAAGAGAGCCCGGAGAAAAACAGAACCCUUUCCCUACAGCAGAGAACUGCACCAAUUUUAUUGAGCUCCUGUUCCAACUGGAGAGAGAAGCUUCCUUGAUUUAUGCGUCUGAUAAUAAAAGAGGUGCCAAUUACAA